ensembl:lncRNA
UUUAACUAGCAUAGAAGUCAGGUGUUAGACAUCAACAGUAGGUGGCAAGAUGCUCCUAGUUUCUUUUCAACUAAAAAGCAACCAAAGGAAGCAACGCUCGGGAACACACCUGUUUUUAUACAGUCUAUGGAACAGAUAUUUCUCGGCAACGAGCAACGUGUUCAUCUCUCUGCAGGAAUUAUUUAAACAACGGAGAUUUAAUCACUUUAAUGGAGCUACUGUUAAAAAAGCGCAAAGAGAACACGAUGCCGAUUAAAGUGAUUUAAUUUUGGUGAAAUUGGCGGGAAAAAAAGAAAAAUAGUGAAGUUCAUUCACUUCCUUCAUGCACCAAAUGGAAGAAUUACAGCGAGGAGAGGGGUUUAGAAAGGUUAACAUUUCUUUAGUGUUGUGAAUGUGUUUUCCAUUAUUGUAGACAUUGUGAGCACUUGCUGAAUUUUAUGAAUUUAUGCAGAACAGUAGCCUAGCUUAUCAGAUCUCGGAAGAGAAACAAGCAGCUGAAUAUAAAAAAAGUGCAAAAUAAAACACUUGCUUCACGAACAUAUGAAGAAUUUUUUUUUAAAUCGAAAAUUGUAUUGAUAAAAAUAGAAAUUACAACCAAUUCUAAACUGCAGUUUGCUGGGUGGGAGUGGUCGGUCCAGGUGAAGACAGAAACACAGGAUAACAAUGAGAAACAACUAUGCGGAUUAAUGAUGACAUUUCGCAGAGUGUGAUCUUUAUUAUAAAGGGGGGACAUGGCAACAGCCUGCUGCAGCCUGUUGACUUGACGUCAUACGUGGGGCUAAGACACACUUAAUGAAGUUUGUCUGCAAUGCAAUCAAUGUAGGCUAUAUAACGGAAAAAGAAACCACACUGUUCCCCAAACCAAAUUCUAAUCAUAUGGAAACCAGCACUGGAGGUGGGAUAUUUGAGUGUCUGUGGAGGCCUCUGAGAAGAGUCUGGAGACUCCUGUGCUGCCAUGAACCUGGUGAUUCUGGUGUGUAUCUGAAAGAUUGUCACUUUAUCAUUAAGCAGCACUUUAUAAUAGUUUAGGACAUUAACUAACAUUAUAUAGCCUAAUGCUGAAUAGAUCAGUUCAUGAACAGCGAACAAGUAGCCUAUUUUAUAUGAAAAUUACCAUUUGAAAUGUAGGCCUUAAUACUUAAUAUGGAGUACAGUAUAAAGUGUUGCUUAUGCUUUAUAAACCCCAUAAAAUCCUGUGCCAAAAAAAAAUAUAAUAAUUAUGUGUAUAAUUUUACCAGAAAUAAAACUUUCAGUGGAAGAAAGGACA